rnacentral:rRNA from 1 species
AGAGUUUGAUCCUGGCUCAGGAUGAACGCUGGCGGCAUGCCUAAUACAUGCAAGUCGAACGAGAGGAAGGAAAGCUUGCUUUUCUGAAUCUAGUGGCGAACGGGUGAGUAACACGUAGGUAACCUGCCCAUGUGCCCGGGAUAACUUCUGGAAACGGAUGCUAAAACCGGAUAGGUAGCAGACAAGCAUUUGACUGCUAUUAAAGUGGCUAAGGCCAUGAACAUGGAUGGACCUGCGGUGCAUUAGCUAGUUGGUGAGGUAACGGCCCACCAAGGCGACGAUGCAUAGCCGGCCUGAGAGGGCGGACGGCCACAUUGGGACUGAGACACGGCCCAAACUCCUACGGGAGGCAGCAGUAGGGAAUUUUCGUCAAUGGGGGGAACCCUGAACGAGCAAUGCCGCGUGAGUGAGGAAGGUCUUCGGAUCGUAAAGCUCUGUUGUAAGAGAAAAACGACAUUCAUAGGGAAUGAUGAGUGAGUGAUGGUAUCUUACCAGAAAGUCACGGCUAACUACGUGCCAGCAGCCGCGGUAAUACGUAGGUGGCGAGCGUUAUCCGGAAUGAUUGGGCGUAAAGGGUGCGUAGGUGGCAGAACAAGUCUGGAGUAAAAGGUAUGGGCUCAACCCGUACUGGCUCUGGAAACUGUUCAGCUAGAGAACAGAAGAGGACGGCGGAACUCCAUGUGUAGCGGUAAAAUGCGUAGAUAUAUGGAAGAACACCGGUGGCGAAGGCGGCCGUCUGGUCUGUUGCUGACACUGAAGCACGAAAGCGUGGGGAGCAAAUAGGAUUAGAUACCCUAGUAGUCCACGCCGUAAACGAUGAGAACUAGGUGUUGGGGGAAUAACUCAGUGCCGCAGUUAACGCAAUAAGUUCUCCGCCUGGGGAGUAUGCACGCAAGUGUGAAACUCAAAGGAAUUGACGGGGGCCCGCACAAGCGGUGGAGUAUGUGGUUUAAUUCGAAGCAACGCGAAGAACCUUACCAGGGCUUGACAUAUACAGGAAUACUUAAGAGAUUAAGUAGCUCUUCGGAGUCUGUAUACAGGUGGUGCAUGGUUGUCGUCAGCUCGUGCCGUGAGGUGUUGGGUUAAGUCCCGCAACGAGCGCAACCCCUGUUCUUAGUUGCCAGCAUGUAAAGAUGGGAACUCUAAGAAGACUGCCGUAGAUAAUACGGAGGAAGGUGGGGAUGACGUCAAAUCAUCAUGCCCUUUAUGUCCUGGGCUACACACGUACUACAAUGGAUGUUACAGAGGGAAGCUAAAUAGUGAUAUGGAGCGAAACCCAAAAAGCAUCCCCAGUUCGGAUUGUAGGCUGAAAUUCGCCUACAUGAAGCCGGAAUUGCUAGUAAUGGCAGGUCAGCAUACUGCCGUGAAUACGUUCCCGGGCCUUGUACACACCGCCCGUCACACCAUGAGAGUUGGGGAUACCCGAAGCCUGUGAGCCAACAGUUAAACGAGGCAGCAGUCGAAGGUAGAAUCAAUGAUUGGGGUGAAGUCGUAACAAGGUAGCCGUAUCGGAAGGUGCGGCUG